rnacentral:rRNA from 1 species
UACGUAGGGGGCAAGCGUUAUCCGGAUUUACUGGGUGUAAAGGGAGCGUAGGUGGUUCGGCAAGUCUGAUGUGAAAGCCCGGGGCUCAACCCCGGGACUGCAUUGGAAACUGUCGGACUUGAGUGCUGGAGAGGUAAGUGGAAUUCCUAGUGUAGCGGUGAAAUGCGUAGAUAUUAGGAGGAACACCAGUGGCGAAGGCGGCUUACUGGACAGUAACUGACACUGAGGCUCGAAGCGUGGGGAGCAAACA